rnacentral:lncRNA from 11 species
GCUGGGAUCACAGGAUUGUUGUGUGUUUUCCAGCCUGUAUGGCCAUGUUCCAGAAGUAUUCUCUCCUGACGUUCCACCCACAUCUAUGGCAGGCAUCCUCACAACCUCUGAGGAUAAACAUAAAUGCAUCCACCUCCACUGAAGUCUGAUGCAAAAAGGUGAAGGUCCACCUCUACUGAGGUGUAAAACCGAGUGAUUACAAAAUGGAGUCCUGAGUCUGAACAUGCUCAGUACAAUCGCACCACCAAAGAGUGGCUUUGACUCACGACGUCUUAAAGAAGGCUCGAGGAAAUUUGGAAGUCCAGCCGACCGAAACCAAGCCGCCUGCCUUCAGCCUCAGCCAGACCAGGAUCCUGUGAUGACCACGUCUCCCCUCAAUAAAGGCCUUUUUCUUUCCUGCCGAACCAAUGCCCUCGGCUACUUCUUUCCUCUCCAAAGCCUUAAUGUUGUUAUUCCAGGCUGGUUGUGGCCAAAGAGCUUUUGCUUUGGUCUUAAGAGCAUUCCAGAAGCAUUGGGCGAGGACUCCCAUCCUCCCCAGUGUUGACAUCAAACAUUUCUUUGGGGUGAUGGGAAACAGUAGCCCACCAAGGCUGCUGUAGUGUUGUGCUUUUGUACGGAAUUGCUGUUCGUUUUGUGUAGUUUCAUUUGUUUUGUCUUACAAGCCCACCAACUUCUAAAACGUUUGGGUCUUCCCCAGAGUACUAUUGUUAUUAAUAAUAUUAUGGAGUAUUAACACCCAUUGGUACACAUCAGAUGUAAUGGGGAGGCACUCCUCUCUCGGACUCAGCUCAGGAUCCAAGAGUAGAUAUCCUUAUUUAUAUAUAUAUAUAUAUAUUGAUAUUAUCAUUAAGACCCAUUGGUACACAUCAGAUGUAACAGGGAGGCAUUCCUAUCCCAGACUCAGCUUAUGGUCCCAAUCGUAAUUAAUGUAUAUAUUAAUAUUAUUAAGACCCAUUGGUACACAUCAGAUGUAACAAGGAGCCGUUCCUCUCCCAGACUCAGUUUAGGGUCCAAGAGUAGCAAUUGUCAUUAAUAUAUAUAUUAUUAAGACCCAUUGGUACGCAUCAGAUGUAACAAGGAGCCGUUCCUCUCUCAGACUCAGUUUAGGGUUCCAGAGUAGCUUUUGUCAUUAAUAUAUAUAUAUAUAUAUAUAUAUUAAUAUUAUAAUUAAGACCCAUUGGUACACAUCAGAUGUAACGGAGGAACUCCUCUCCCAGACUCAUCUCAGGGUCCAAGAGUAGCUAUCCUUAUUAAUAUAUAUAUUAAUAUUAUCAUUAAGACCCAUUGGUACACAACAGAUGUAACAGGGAGGCACUCCUCUCCCAGACUCAACUUAGGGUCCCAAUCGUAAUUAAUAUAUAUAUUAAUAUUAUUAAGACCCAUUGGUACACAUCAGAUGUAACGGGAGGAACUCCUCUCCCAGACUCAGUUUAGGGUCCCAGAGUAGCUUUUGUCGUUAAUAUAUAUAUUAAUAUUAUAAUUAAGAUCCAUUGGUACACAUCAGAUAUAACGGGAGGCACUCCUCUCCCAGACUCAUCUCAGGGUCCAAGAGUAGCUAUCCUUAUUAAUAUAUAUAUUAAUAUUAUCAUUAAGACCCAUUGGUACACAUCAGAUGUAACGGGGAGGCACUCCUCUCCCAGACUCAGUUUAGGGUCCCAGAGUAGUGAUCGUCAUUAAUAUAUUAAUAAUAUUACGACCCAUUGGUACACUUCAGAUGUAACGGGAGGCACUCCUCUCCCAGACUCAUCUUAGGAUCCCAAAGUAGCUAUCAUAGUUAAUAUAUAUAUUAGGUCCAAGAGUAGCUAUCAUUAAUAUAUAUAUUAAUAUUAUCAUUAAGACCCAUUGGUACGUAUCAGAUGUAACGGGAGGAACUCCUCUCCCAGACUAAGUUUAGGGUCCCAAAGUAGUAAUCGUCAUUAAUAUAUAUAUUAAUAUUAUCAUUACGACCCACUGGUACACAUCAGAUGUAACGAGCAGGCACUCCUUUCCCAGACCCAGCUUCAUUAAUAUAUAUAUAUUAAUACUAGCUGUGCCCGGCCACGCGUUGCUGUGGCGAAGUCUGGUGGUAUGGGAAAUAAAGUAUUGAGGAAUUGGUGGGAGUUAAGGUAAAGGGUCCCCUGGGCUAAGUGGGUUGCUAGGGGACCAACUGAACAGAGCUUAGCCUUCUAACUGGCAGCAGUUGGAUAAAAACAAUUAUUCCUCUCCCUCUAAUUAGGACUUUAUUUUUCUUUUUUUGUUGUUGUUGUAUCAACCUAGAGGCAUGGAUGAGGGGUUGUGCUGUCAAUUUUCGAGGUUGUGGGGUGUUUACUUUUGAUGUUUUGUCCGCUGCUGUGACGCCCUCACUCUCAUAUAUAUAUAUAUAUAUAUAUAUAUAUAUAUAUAUAUAUAUAUAUAUAUAUACACACACACACACACACACACACACACACACACACACACACACACACUAUAAUAUACAAAAAAUAUAUAAUAAAUUAUAACGUGUGUGGAUAUACA